GUAACCUGGGCUGGCAUUUGUGUUCUCUUAGGGUCUGUAUGUCAAUGAAUCCCCCACAAGAGAUUCCUGCCUGAGUGGGCUCUGGCAUUGUGAAGGAGGCUCCUAUUGGUGAAGAAUCCAUGCAUGUUGAUGAGGUCACCACAGAUAAGGGGACCCCUGGAUAAAAAUCCUCUGUCUAGGGAGGCUGAGGGGUGUCCACUAAUAUAUGUCAUAUAAAUUUGGUCCAGUAUACCCUCCUCCUGCUCAACAACUCUUCCUCAGAGAGGUAAAUUGCAGACAAUUGGCAUAUCUUGCUCUAGUUGCACGUGACCCACAUUUGAUCCAAUCCUUCAGACAAUCUUGGUCCUGACCCAGCAUGCAGCUGCCAGUUCAUAUUCCAUACGUACCUCCUGAGCUUGACCCUGGGCCCUGCAUAUGUCUACAUCACACCUGCCAGGAUCCAGGCUUACCCCUUCCCUAUUCUGCCCUUACUGGUCCUAGCCUCCAAUGGAAGCUCUCCUAGGCUCAUUACUACACAGAAUGCCUUCCUUACCUCUGUCAUAGAGUAGUAGUCUGAGAAAAAAAGUCAUGACUUUCAGAUACCUUUCUUGGAAUAGAGACACAACCUGUUAUCUCAGGCCUCUAGGCAGAAGGAACACAUGGCCUUGGGUUUCAGACCAUGCUAGGUUGUGUAGGACCACCACGCCAACUCUGUGAUACCCUUUCUCAAAAAAAAAAAAAAAAAAGAAAAAACAAAAAACAAAACAAAAACAAAACAAACCAGGCCUCAUAAACAAACCUAUGGAUUAAUGAAUGAGAUAAUAUACCCCUAUUCAUGCUACUAUGGUCAGUUGGAAAGGGAAACAGGAGGAAACACAGGCUUGAGUGGAAAGAGCUUGAAUUCUAAUCCCACAGCAGUGUUUUUAGCUGUCAAAUGGCCCACAUUUGAUCCAAUCCUUCUUCAAGACACCUGAAAAGUAGGGGCAGUCAUCCCUUAGUUACUCAGCUUCUGGGGAAUGAGAAAGACUCAUUACCACACAAUAGGACAAUCUGAUGAGAAAAAGAUGCUUAUUACGAUGGUUGCCCUUCAUGUGGGAUGGCUUAGAGUCCUUGAGAAAGUAGGGCUGAUGCCAGAGCUCAUAGAAGUAGACUAGGACAUGGAGACCUGAGGACAAGGACACACUAUGACAUGGUGGCUUGUGACCUGGAGCUGUCUUCUGGGACCUUGCUCCAAGCUGACCACAAUGUAGACAGUAGUGUUAAAUUAUAGCCUUUAACUUCCAGAGAAGACAGAACUAGAGGCGCUAAGGUUGAGGACUGAGUCAGCAGGUCAGGGCUCUAAUUCAAUCUCCUCAUGGCUCAGUCUUCCCUCUGACAUGGUGAAGUCAUUUAUGGCAAUAGCAUGGACUAACGUUGAGUCUCUUUCAUAUGAGGUCUGACUCCGUGGUCAGGGAGGGGACAGGUAGACAGGAGCACCAGUCUAGACAGGGAAGGGUUCAGACUCUCACACUAGUGUGGGCUUUUAAGCUAUUUAUAAGAUGGCUGGAAGAGGCUCUUACUGGACAGUUACUUAACAGGGCCCAGUCACCCCUCAAGUACUCAUCUGGGUUGCCAUCUGGCUCAUGAAAAGAAGACUCAUGUUUGCUGCUCCCAAAGGAGAAUCCAAAGAUAUCGACAAAGAUGUACUCAAACUGCAGAUGUGCUGCUUGCAGAGCAGGGGUCAUAAACAUGAAGUCUGCCAUCAUCUCAUGGAACUUAACUUGGAGAGCAUCGGGGGUCCUCAGUGUCUUCUAUGUACUCGUCCAUCAGUAAGCCCCUACAUUAGCAGGUAACAUCUACCCCUGGAGAAUCAGGAAGAACAUGGUUAUUGGGUCCAGAGAAGGAGAAAGCAGCCUUGGGAGGGGAGAUUGGUUAUGGGAUGGAACAAGUCCAAGAGAGCCAGGGUAAUCUUACCUGGAAAACACAUCCUAGGCUUUAGUUUUGAACAUUUGUCUCUGAGCAGGAUAUAUGGGAGACCCUGUCUAUUGGAGUGGAACUCACAGACUCUCACCAUCUGUGCUGCUGUGUACUUCAGAUCAGUCUUCAGAGUCCCGCCAGUUCUUUCCUUUAUGGUGUGAACAAAAUCUAGGGUGGCCAAGAAGUCUUCAGUAUGUAGUGGGUUGAACCUGCAGUAUUGAAUCUCUGACCUCCCACUACCCACCAGGUGAAUUCUCAAGCUGCAAGAAGUUUAGAAGCACAUCUCAUCACAGGGGUGGUGCAGUCUUACUCACUGAUGUUGAUACCAAGGACAAGAUGAAAACCAGCAGAGGCCAACAGCUCCUGGGGUUCGUGGGUAGGAAGUCCUCAUCCACCAUACCAAGGCUGAGAAUCAAAAUCUGAAAGGCAUUUAAAAUAACUGUUGAAGGUCAACAAGAACAUAUUUCCAUCCACACAGAUUACUCCACUCUUGCUAAUUCAUUCCAGUAUUAGUUAAACUAAUUAAUAGGAUUGCACAUAUAAUAAUUAAUAUAAUUACACAUUUUCUGUUUCCUCCCUCCCUUCUAUGCUUCCCAUGAAUCCUUUCCCAAGUUUAUGGCCUCCUCUUUCUUAAUUAUUACUGUUAGAUAUACAUUUAAAUAAAUGAAGGUACAAAUCCA
rnacentral:sRNA from 1 species